rnacentral:lncRNA from 1 species
ACCAAACAAAAUCUAUCAACACAACAACACAUGUCGACCAACUAUAUACUUAGAAGACAAACCGACGAUUAACCCACCACGAUAGCUAAUCCCAAUCCGGCGCGACGUCGAGAACGGCGGAAUCGCACCCUCGUCCGGCCUCCUCGCGAUGCUACGACGACGAACGCACACUCGAACGGCACCGCGGUGCGACGUCGGCGAAACUCCAACACCACCCAAGCUCCUCCUCCGCACGUACGGCCAAGCUCAA